rnacentral:rRNA from 1 species
CUUGGAGGAAUGUAUAGCGAGAGCUAGCUGCACUAGUUUAGUGCAGGAUUGUCUCUACAAAUAAAGUUCCGGGUGGGUUAUGACAAUGACAUUUCCUGUCUGUGUGUCUUGACCAAAUUACGUGCCAGCAGUCGCGGUAAUACGUAGAAGACUAGUGUUAUUCAUCUUUAAUAGGUUUAAAGGGUACCUAGACGGUAAAUCAAGUCCAAGAAGGAUACUAAUUUGACUAGAGUUAAAUGUGAGGGGGCUAUAGAGUACUGUUUAGUGUAGAGAUGAAAUUCAGUUAUACAUUGUAAGGCACUGGCGAAGGCGAAGGCAUCUCCUUAUGUUUUAACUGACGUUGAGGGACGAAGGCUAUGUAUCGCCAAAAGGAUUAGAUACCCAAGUAGUCAUAGCAGAAAAUUAUGAAUGUCAUAGGAAGGAAGACUUUACAUUUUUCAAAACAAUUAGAAUAAUAAGAUACAGGAAAAAUUUUGAAAGAAUUUUUUUUUUAUAAAUAAUAGUGUAAGCAUUCCACCUCAAGAGUAAUUUGGCAACAUUGGAACUGAAAUCAUUAGACCGUUUCUGAAACAAGUAGUGAAGUAUGUUGUUUAAUUUGAUGAUCCGCAAAAUACCUUACCACAGUUUGAAUAGAAACUUUUUUUAUACAAGUGCUGCACGGUUGUCUUCAGUUAAUGUCGUGAGAUUUUGGUUAGCUCCAUAAAAUUAACGUAAACCCUUACUUUAUUUUUAUAUAGAGUAGUUCCCCACUAUAUUGGAAUAGAUAACAGGGA